CCUACGGGAGGCAGCAGUAGGGAAUCUUUCACAAUGGGCGAAAGUCUGAUGGAGCAACGCCGCGUGCAGGAUGAAGGCCCUCGGGUUGUAAACUGCUUUUAUAAGCGAGAUAUAUGAUGGUAACUUAUGAAUAAGGAACGGCUAACUACGUGUCAGAAGCCGCGGUCAUACGUAGGAUCCGAGCAUUAUCCGGAGUGACUGGGUGUAAAGAGUUGCGUAGGUGGCAUAAUAAGUAGCUAGUGAAAUCUGGUGGCUCAACCAUUCAGACUAUUAGCGAAACUGUUAAGCUCGAGACCGUUAGGGGUAGCUGGAAUUUGUAGUGUAGGAGUGAAAUCCGUAGAUAUUAGAAGGAACCCCGAUAGCGUAGGCAGGUUGCUGGGACGGUUCUGACACUGAGGCACGAAAGCGUAGGGAGCAAACGGGAUUAGAUACCCCUGUAGUC
rnacentral:rRNA from 1 species